rnacentral:rRNA from 1 species
UGGGGGAUAUUGCACAAUGGGCGAAAGCCUGAUGCAGCGACGCCGCGUGGGGGAUGAAGGCCUUCGGGUUGUAAACUUCUUUUGCUCUGAACAAGGCAUGCUAAUGGGUGUGUUGAGUGUAGGGGUUGAUUAGCGCCGGCUAACUACGUGCCAGCAGCCGCGGUAAUACGUAGGGCGCGAGCGUUGUCCGGAAUUAUUGGGCGUAAAGGGCUUGUAGGUGGCUGGUUGCGUCGGUCGUGAAAGCUCAUGGCUUAACUGUGGGUUUGCGGUGGGUACGGGCUGGCUUGAGUGCAGUCGGGGAGGCUGGAAUUCCUGGUGUAGCGGUGGAAUGCGCAGAUAUCAGGAGGAAUACCGGUGGCGAAGGCGGGUCUCUGGGCUGUUACUGACACUGAGGAGCGAAAGCAUGGGGAGCGAACAGG